rnacentral:rRNA from 1 species
CCUACGGGUGGCUGCAGUGGGGAAUAUUGGACAAUGGGGGGAACCCUGAUCCAGCCAUGCCGCGUGUGUGAAGACGGCCCUCGGGUUGUAAAGCACUUUCAGUGAGGAAGAACGCCUGGUGGUUAAUACCCAUCAGGAAAGACAUCACUCACAGAAGAAGCACCGGCUAACCCCGUGCCAGCAGCCGCGGUAAUACGGAGGGUGCGAGCGUUAAUCGGAAUUACUGGGCGUAAAGCGCGCGUAGGUGGCUUGAUAAGCCGGUUGUGAAAGCCCCGGGCUCAACCUGGGAACGGCAUCCGGAACUGUCAAGCUAGAGUGCAGGAGAGGAAGGUAGAAUUCCCGGUGUAGCGGUGAAAUGCGUAGAGAUCGGGAGGAAUACCAGUGGCGAAGGCGGCCUUCUGGACUGACACUGACACUGAGGUGCGAAAGCGUGGGUAGCAAACAGGAUUAGAUACCCCAGUAGUC